AUUGAACGCUGGCGGCAUGCUUUACACAUGCAAGUCGAACGGUAACAGGUUAAGCUGACGAGUGGCGAACGGGUGAGUAAUGUAUCGGAACGUGCCCAGUCGUGGGGGAUAACGUAGCGAAAGCUACGCUAAUACCGCAGACGAUCUGUGGAUGAAAGCGGGGGACCGUAAGGCCUCGCGCGAUUGGAGCGGCCGAUAUCAGAUUAGGUAGUUGGUGGAGUAAAGGCCCAACAAGCCAACGAUCAGUAGCUGGUCUGAGAGGACGACCAGCCACACUGGGACUGAGACACGGCCCAGACUCCUACGGGAGGCAGCAGUGGGGAAUUUUGGACAAUGGGGGCAACCCUGAUCCAGCAAUGCCGCGUGCAGGAAGAAGGCCUUCGGGUUGUAAACUGCUUUUGUACGGAACGAAAAGGCUCUGGUUAAUACCUGGGGUUUAUGACGGUACCGUAAGAAUAAGCACCGGCUAACUCUGUGCCAGCAGCCGCGGUAA
rnacentral:rRNA from 1 species